rnacentral:rRNA from 1 species
CCUGCCCACUGAUUAUUUGAAGGGCCGCAGUAUUUUGACUGUGCAAAGGUAGCAUAAUAAUUAGUUUUUUAAUUGAAAGCUUGUAUGAAGGGUUGGACGAAGUAAAAUCUGUCUCUAUAAAAUUUAUAAUUGAAUUUAAUUUUUAAGUUAAAAAGCUUAAAUUUUUGUAAAAGACGAGAAGACCCUAUAGAUCUUUAUAUUUAUUAGAUUUAUUUUUAUUAAGAUUUUUUAAGGUUUAAAUUUAAUAAUUAUUUUAUUGGGGUAAUAGUUAGAUUUAAUUAAUUCUUUAUUUUUUUUACAUUAAUUAAUGAUAAUUUGAUCCAAUUUUUUUGAUUAUAAGAUUAAGUUACCUUAGGGAUAACAGCGUAAUUUUUUUUGAGAGUUCAUAUCGAUAAAAGAGUUUGCGACCUCGAUGUUGGAUUAAAAAUUAUCUUAGGGGUAGAAUUUUAAGAUUUUGGUCUGUUCGACCAUUGAAUUUUU